ensembl:processed_transcript
AACAUUCAGAGAAAUUAUGUUCCUCCAGGAGUUUGGAGAUCAUCCUAAUAUAAUAAAAUUACUAAACGUCAUCAGAGCCCAAAACGACAAAGAUAUUUACCUUAUAUUUGAAUUCAUGGACACAGACCUACAUGCAGUGAUAAAGAAAGGAAAUCUAUUAAAAGACAUUCAUAAGCGUUAUGUAAUGUACCAACUUCUUAAAGCAACAAAAUAUCUUCAUUCAGGCAAUGUCAUUCACAGAGACCAAAAGCCAUCCAACAUCUUAUUAGACUCAGAUUGCUUCGUGAAGCUGUGUGAUUUCGGUUUAGCGAGGUCUCUGUACCAAAUCCAAGAGGAUGCUGGGAAUCCUGCAUUAACAGAGUAUGUUGCAACACGAUGGUAUCGAGCUCCUGAAAUACUUCUGGGAUCCUCAAGGUACACAAAAGGUGUGGACAUGUGGAGUAUAGGAUGCAUCCUGGCAGAGAUGCUGCUGGGCAAACCACUGUUCCCUGGGACGUCUACCAUUAAUCAAAUAGAAAAAAUCAUGAACGUCAUUCCACAUCCUUCGACAGAGGAUGUGUUGGCCAUCAGAUCAGAGUACGGGGCGUCUGUGAUUCAGAGAAUGCUGCUUAGACCGCAGGUGCCAUUAGAUGAGAUUCUGCCGGCCUCAGUGCCACCUGAUGCCCUUGAUUUACUGCAACGCCUGCUGCUUUUCAAUCCAGACAAGAGACUCAGCGCGGAAGAAGCUCUGCGGCAUCCGUAUGUGUCCAAAUUUCACAACCCAUCCAGCGAGCCCAGUUUGCUCUAUGACGUCAUUUUGCCCGUGGAUGAUGACGUCCAGCUCUCCGUUACACAAUACAGAAACAAACUCUAUGAGAUGAUCGUGGAGAAAAGGGCCAGUCGACAAAUGCAGAAGCAGCCUCAUAUCAGGCAGAAGCUGGAGGAGAAGCCUGCGGAGGUGCAUGUGGACGGUGGAUUAACCAGAAGCAGUGAAGCAGAUGGUUCAGUCAAACCUCCGUCUCAUCUGAGAUUAGUGAAGAGGAAUCAGGAGAGCGCUGGUGUUCUGCCUGCAGAGGGUGCUAACGGGCCUGUGGCUGCAGACCCACGCGGUCGAUCGGCUCCUGUUGGUCGCACACACUCUUUCUCUCUCACACUCGCGCAGCCACUGAAUAAUCCCCUGAUCCGCAAGGAUGAAGCCAUUGUUUCCCCCGGGCUGUGUGUCACCUCUGCAUGCUUGCCAACGCACGGACAAUAUUUCUGCCGGUGUUUCAUAAGAAAACGGCAUAUUUCACUGCGCGUCGUUUAAACUCAAAGGGUUUGGUCCUGGCCCUGGCCCAUACCCACAGAUGCCAUAUCCACAGAUGCCAUACCCGCAAGCGAACUACGCUCAAGGGCCGUACCCUCAGAGCCCAUACCAGCAGGGGCCCGGCCAGCCCGCCUUCGGUGUAG